AGGAUCAACGCUGGCGGCGUGCCUAACACAUGCAAGUCGCACGAGAAAGUGGAGCAAUCCAUGAGUAAAGUGGCGCACGGGUGAGUAACACGUGAAUUAUCUACCUCCGAGUGGGGAAUAACUGAGAGAAAUCUUAGCUAAUACCGCAUAACACUUACGAGUCAAAGCAGCAAUGCGCUUGGAGAGGAGUUCGCGGCCGAUUAGUUAGUUGGCGGGGUAAUGGCCCACCAAGACGAUGAUCGGUA
rnacentral:rRNA from 1 species